GGCCUCGUAGCUCAGUUAGUAGGAGUUCUGGCUGUACAAAAGCCUUUCUCUUGCUGGCGUGGGUUCGAAUCCCACUGAAGCUU
rnacentral:tRNA from 1 species